GCCAUUUUAAAGUUAGAAAAUUAUUUUUUUUCCAAACAGGUCCUUGUUUCCCCUCUCUCGCAAUGAACCUCAGCUUCACGGUGCCUUUGCAUUUCCGGAACAUAUGAUUUUGCCAGAGACAUGGGUAAUGUACUGCAUUUUGGAGCCGGGGGUCUAACAAACCAAGCACAAUAGAUGAUCAAAUGUCCAAACCCACCAGUACUUGUCAACUAAGAUAGCUUACCUUAACCACAAGGAGGGGGAUGCCGAAGCUGCAGGUACAUGCGAAGAAAUGAUCAGGGCUGUAUUUUUGGAGCCCCUUUUAAACUCUAAUUCACUGGCCUUAAAGAAAUUCUGCAAGGUCCAUGGGGCCAUAACCAUAUAUCGUUCACUUUAUCCACCAAAAGAAUACAGAUACAUUAACCCGAAUUUUCCUUAUCUUUGUUAUAUAUAAUUCUCAAGCUUAGCGUACACCUUAUAGAACAUGAAAGGUAAAUCUCAUUCUCAAGCUUAGCGUACACCUUCUAGAACAUGAAAGGUAAAUCUCAGGGUAGUUGAAUUCGCUAAUUAGCUAUCUUGGAUAGGAACUAAAGGCAGCUUGCCUCCAUAUACAUCUGGGAGCUGGUUCUCAUCAAUAUCACCGAGCAGAGUCGACUUGAUAUUUUUGUUCUCGACAAAGAUUAUCUGCAAGUUUACAUAGAAACAGACUCAGUUGAAGCCAUGAAAGCUUUUCUGAAACUCCUCGAGUUAAUGGUAUGUAAAUGAAGGGUGCUUCUUUGCAGUCUAUAGAACCUAACAUAGGGUAAAUUUUGAGAAUUUUGGUGUUUUGGGAUAAAGGGCAAGUUUGAAUUUCUCAAAAUCUUGGAAUUUUCAUCCUAAUUCAUUCUCAUACAGAAUUAUUUAUUCUUUGUGUAGAAGAAGGAAAAUAAGUAAAAUAAAUUCAAAAUAGACAUGCAAAAAUAAUUUAUUAACUUUAAAUAUUUUUUUUUCCCUUCACUUUUUCUAUCUUCCUAUAUUUCCU
rnacentral:lncRNA from 1 species